rnacentral:rRNA from 2 species
GUUGGAUUAGCUAGUUGGUGGGGUAAGGGCCUACCAAGGCUACGAUCCAUAGCUGAUUUGAGAGGAUGAUCAGCCACAUUGGGACUGAGACACGGCCCAAACUCCUACGGGAGGCAGCAGUGGGGAAUAUUGGACAAUGGGGGAAACCCUGAUCCAGCAAUGCCAUGUGUGUGAAGAAGGCUCUAGGGUUGUAAAGCACUUUAGUUGGGGAGGAAAGCCUGUGAGUUAAUAGCUUGCAGGAAGGACGUUGCCCAAAGAAUAAGGACCGGCUAACUCCGUGCCAGCAGCCGCGGUAAUACGGGGGGUCCGAGCGUUAAUCGGAAUUACUGGGCGUAAAGGGUCUGUAGGUGGUUUGUUAAGUCAGAUGUGAAAGCCCAGGGCUCAACCUUGGAACUGCAUUUGAUACUGACAAACUAGAGUAUGGUAGAGGAAUAGGGAACUUCUGGUGUAGCGGUGAAAUGCGUAGAGAUCAGAAGGAACACCAAUGGCGAAGGCAACAUUCUGGACCAAUACUGACACUGAGGGACGAAAGCGUGGGGAUCAAACAGGAUUAGAUACCCUGGUAGUCCACGCUGUAAACGAUGAGUACUAGCUGUUGGAUUCGGUGUAAAGGAUCUAGUGGCGCAGCUAACGCGUUAAGUACUCCGCCUGGGGACUACGGCCGCAAGGCUAAAACUCAAAGGAAUUGACGGGGACCCGCACAAGCGGUGGAGCAUGUGGUUUAAUUCGAUGCAACGCGAAGAACCUUACCUGGUCUUGACAUCCUGCGAACUUUCUAGAGAUAGAUUGGUGCCUUCGGGAACGCAGUGACAGGUGCUGCACGGCUGUCGUCAGCUCGUGUUGUGAAAUGUUGGGUUAAGUCCCGCAACGAGCGCAACCCCUAUUGAUAGUUACCAUCAUUAAGUUGGGUACUCUAUUGAGACUGCCGCUGACAAGGCGGAGGAAGGUGGGGACGACGUCAAGUCAUCAUGGCCCUUACGACCAGGGCUACACACGUGCUACAAUGGGU